AUAAGGUUUGUUUUAGGAUUUGGUUGGGAUUUACUUUAGGUUUAGGGUUUGAUUUAGGGUUUAAGGUUUGUUUUAGGAUUUGGUUGGGAUUUACUUUAGGUUUAGGAUUUGAUUAGGAUUUGAUUAGGAUUUGGUUUAGGGUUUAUUUAGGGUUUUAUUUAGGGGUUAGGAUUAGGAUUUGAUUUAGGAUUUAGGAUUUUAUUAGGAUUUUUUUAUGGUUUAAAAUUUAAUUAGUUUUGGACUAAAGUUUGAAUGAAGUCUAUUAGUAUUUUAACUAAUUUAAAUUGAGAUUAAAUUGAGAUGUAUUUGAGAGAUAUUUGUGAUCAUUCUAAUAUUUAUUUAAGUUUUUUUAUUAUUUCUUUAAAAUUUCUUUGAGGUUUCUUUGAAUUUGAUUAAAGCUU
rnacentral:lncRNA from 1 species